rnacentral:rRNA from 1 species
GAUGAACGCUGGCGGCGUGCCUAAUACAUGCAAGUCGAACGAGGUGCCUAAGUAGCAAUACGAGGGUAUCCUAGUGGCGAACGGGUGAGUAACGCGUUGGUGACCUACCCCAAAGUGUGGAAUAACAGUUCGAAAGGAUUGCUAAUACCGCAUGUGGUCAUUGGAUUUAGAAACUGAUGACUAAAGCCGUAAGGCGCUUUGGGAGGGGCCUGCGUCCCAUCAGCUAGUUGGUGAGGUAACGGCUUACCAAGGCUACGACGGGUAGGGGACCUGAGAGGGUGGCCCCCCACAAUGGAACUGAAACACGGUCCAUACACCUACGGGAGGCUG